UACGUAGGGUGCGAGCGUUAAUCGGAAUUACUGGGCGUAAAGGGCGCGUAGGCGGCCUGUUAAGUCGAACGUGAAAUCCCCGGGCUCAACCCGGGAACUGCGUCCGAUACUGGCAGGCUUGAAUUCGGGAGAGGGAUGCGGAAUUCCAGGUGUAGCGGUGAAAUGCGUAGAUAUCUGGAGGAACACCGGUGGCGAAGGCGGCAUCCUGGACCGACAUUGACGCUGAGGCGCGAAAGCCAGGGGAGCAAACGGG
rnacentral:rRNA from 1 species